AUGCCUACGGGGCGCAGCAGUAGGGAAUCUUCCACAAUGGACGAAAGUCUGAUGGAGCAACGCCGCGUGAGUGAAGAAGGGUUUCGGCUCGUAAAGCUCUGGUGGUAGUGAAGAAAGAUAGAGGUAGUAACUGGCCUUUAUUUGAUGGUAAUUACUUAGAAAGUCACGGCUAACUACGUGCCAGCAGCCGCGGUAAUACGUAGGUGGCAAGCGUUGUCCGGAUUUAUUGGGCGUAAAGCGAGUGCAGGCGGUUCAAUAAAGCUGAUGUGUAAGACUUCUGGUCAACC
rnacentral:rRNA from 1 species